UUUAAGUAGUUAAAUCUUCAAAUUUUCGAAUAAAAUCAAUCCUUUCGUAAACAUCCGAACUACUUCUAAAUUGACUUUUUCUUUCUUCGUAAGUUCCGUUAACUGUAACCGCACUACUGCCUUGUCCUCCAACGUUUGGGGUGCAACUCACGGAUACAUACACUUAAAUACACUCUCCAAACACGCGUC
rnacentral:lncRNA from 1 species